GGCAGCAUAGCAUAGCGGUUAAGAGCACAGGCCCUGGAAGUAGAGGCCCUGUGUUCAAAUCUCAGUGUUGCUG
rnacentral:tRNA from 1 species